AAAAAAAAAUAAAGGGUGAAUCACAUUUCCCACUGAUGUUUUUCAUGUAUUUUACUCAUAAAAAACAACCUAAUUUAAAAAAAAAGGGGGGGGAUUAGUAGCAAUGCAGAUAAAUGCAAAUGUUGUAAACAAAUGCAGCUGCUAAAUCUGAGAAGAGUCACCAAAGACCACUAAACAAGGCGCAGCCCCAAAAGGAGAUUGAAUAUAUUCCUCAGUUCGCAGUACUAUCGUAUAAACUACUUGCUUUCAAGCUAAAAAUCCACAUUGCACUACCUGAGAUUAUGACCACCAAAGCAGUAAAAAAAGGUUACAUAUCGGAAUAUAUUUACAGUUAAUAAACCACAAUCAACAGUAACACAUCUCCAUAGACAUUUACAGUUAAUGAUUUUCUGACAUGUGAAAAAUGUCGAUGUUAAAUGUCAAUACAGAGGUUACAUACACCGUAUGAUGGAUUUUAAUGAUUAUCUGUUAACCAAAGAAUCAUGAUAAUCGUGGUCUAGUAUCAUAUUGGAAGCCUAGAAAACCACAUCAUUAUCUCACUCUUAGUCAGAAAAUUAAAAACAUGAUGUUCAGUAUUCCUUCAUUGACUAGGUAAUUCGGCUUGUCUUGGUCGUUGCCCCACAUACAUAGAAAACGAAAAGUUCUGGAGUCAAAGGGCAUGGCACCCUAAUUCCAUUUCACAUACUUGAUGCAACCCUGCUAAACUCACCACAGUAGAUGCUUAAAACAACAAAAUACAUUUGUCCAAUAACCUCUACACUCAUAAAAAUUAAAUAACUCCACUCUGAUGGCAGAAGCAAAUCCAGCAUUACAAAGUCAGUACUUAUUCGACAAAGACCAUUACCAAGUAAAGAAACUAACCAUUCUCUCAUUUCCGCCAAAAUCAAAUACAUUACAACCAUAACUAUACAAGAACAAAACCAAUUACGGCACCCAUUACCAAAUUUGAACUGCAAACAGUUUAGUUGUAGGGAAUUCAUCUUCACGUAUGAGAAUCCUAACACAUUUCAUGCGGAUAAAUGAUUAUAUCGCAAUUUUCACGAAACCGAUCAAGUAAAUACGCAUACCCGUCGCUUUCCGGCUUCAAGAUG
rnacentral:misc_RNA from 1 species